rnacentral:lncRNA from 1 species
GGUGCUGCCACCAGUGUCUGCUCAAAGUGGUUGGGGGAUGGGUUGCUCCCCACUUAGGAGGGAAGGGGGAAUAUGAACAGGUGAGUGGCCACAGUGGGGGUGUGACCCGUAGACAGUGGGACCAGCGGGGGCUUCCCAAAUCCUGGGCCCUCAGACUGCAGGAUCAGAAGAGGGAAAAAACCCCAUAGGACGGGCUCAGCUUCCCGAGGCUGGAGGGUGAGGCUGCCCCCUAGUGGCUGAAGUUCACGACCGGACGGACGUUCAAGGAGUCCCGGGCGUUCCAAUGCUUUCUCCCAGGAAGUGGGCUCUGCAGGCUGGAGGUGCCCUAGUGUCAGUGUGAAGGCUGGGAGCCAACGUCUAAUCAUCAAGGUGAUGGAACUCUGAGGGCUGAAGGGAUGUUAAGGCACUGAGGGCCAGAGCACUUGUUCUCAUCAGCAUCAUCAUCAGCAUCAGCAUCAUUGUCACCGUAAUCAGCAUCAUCGGCAUCAGCAUCAUCAGCAUCACCACCCUCAUCAUCAUCAGUAGCAUCAAUAUCACUAUCAUCAGCAUGAGCAUCAGCAUCAUCAGCAGCAUCAGCACCAUCAGCAUCAUCGUCAUCAGCAUCAUCAGCAUCAUCAGCAGCAUCACCACCAUUAUCAGCAUCAGGAUCACCAUCUAACAUUUUUUGAGGGCUUCAAAUGCACAAGGCACUGGGCUGAUUUCUUUACAUGCAUUGUCUCACUUGUUUCCAACAAUGACAGCCCCCAAAGUUAAGUAUUAUUAUUGUUAAUAUCCUCAUUUACAGAUAUGUAAACUGAAACUUAGAGAGAUUAAGCAACUUGCUUAGGGCCACAGAGCUAUGUUAAGUGUAAUUUUAAAAAAUGUAAAUCACAAUUCUCAGGAAAAUAUAAAAUGAUACCAUGUCAAAGAUUUUAUUUAACUCAAUAACCAAUGAGAGAACCAAUAAGAAGUUUAAACUUAUUCAAAGAGCAUUAGAGAAUUUAGAUAUAUGCAGGCAAUUUAACAACAAAAAAAUAAGGCAAGUAUGAUAGGCUAAAUAAUGUUCCCUCUGAAAAAAAAUCUAUCCUGAUCCCUGGAAUUUCUGAAUAUGUUACUUAUGUUACUUUAUAAAUAGAAAGGACUUUACAGAUGUGAUUAAAUUAUGGGUUUUGAGAUGGGGAGGUUAUUCUGGAUUAUCUGGGUAGGUCCAAUGUAAUCACAUGCAUUCUUAUAAGAGGGUGACAGGAGUGUCAGCUGAGAGAGAAGACAUAAGAAUGAAAGCGGAGGUUGGAGUGAUGUGCUUUGAAGAUGGAGGAAGAGGCCAUAAGCCAAGGAAUGUACGUUAUCCCUAGAAGCUGGAAAAGACAAGAAAACAAAUCCUUUUCUAGAGCCUCCAGAAGAAAAGGGCUCUGCUUACACCUUGAUUUUAGCCCAGUGAAACUGAUUUUGAACUUCUGACAUCUAGUACUGUAAGAUAAUACAUUUGCAUGAUUUUUACACCCUAAAAUGUGUUACAUUGUUAUAUCAGCAGUAGAAAUUUAAUACCAAAAGAUUACUGGGUGAGAUAGAAAGCUAGUUAAUGUCCAACAGGGCUAUCAACUAUAACCCUUGGAGCUAAUUCUUCUACCAGAGUUAAAUUAUUUGCUUCUUUGCGGGGCCAAAAUUUGCAAGUAAACCUCUGCCGUUAUGGAGAUGAAAAUUGACUAGUCAGUAGAAAUCCCAGCUUUGCACUGGCAAAUCACUCAAUAAUCUCUUCUGCACGUUCCCAAGUUUAGAAUACUCUUUUGGACAGUUAGGAAGUCGAAGCGCUGAGAUUUGAACCAGGCUCUUCUAAGUCCAGAAUCUGUGCUCUUAAUCACUAAGGAACAUAUUUUUUAUUAGCAUUAUUUCAUAGACUAGCAGGACAAUCAGUGGCAAGAAAAAUUGUCCAUGGAAACUGAGAACACAGCUUAAAGAUUGCCAGGUUUGGGUGUGGUGGCUCACACCUUUAAUUCCAGUGUUUUGGGAGGCUGAGGCGGGAGGAUUGCUUGAGGCUAGGAGUUCAAGAGCAGCCUGGGCAACAGGGUGAGACCUCCAUCUUUACAACAAAUAAUAAAAAAAAAAAAAGCCAAGUGUGAUGGUGUGGACCUGUGGUCCUAGCUACUCAGGAGGUGGAGGUGGGAGGAUUUUGUGAGCCCAAGUGUUCAAGGUUAUAGUGAGCUAUGAUUGCACUCUAGCCUGGGUGACAGAGAAAGACCCUGUCUCUAAAGAAAAAUUAAAAAAAAAAAAAGAUUGCCAGUUUGAUUCACCAACUCCUUCAUGGUGCUUCCCCCAAACAGAGGACCACAGAAAGAACCUUCUCCCUCCAUAACAUGGAAAUUCCUACACUAGCUCUCUGAAAACUUAGAUCCAAGCUUUCAGUAGGUGGUUUAGAUAGGUUCCUGGUUGGAGUAACUUGAAGGCUGGGGUGGGAAACUAAAAUACACCUCCCCACAACUGUUCCCUUCCCUGCUCAAGAGUAAAUGGUCUUGACAAGCCCUUCUUUAAAACUGUGUUACUUGGUUAGACAUCAAAACACUUUGCCUAGUAAAUGCUUGAAAAAGGUUUGCAUUGCAUUUGGUUUGGUGGAAGGGCAAAGUAGACUUUGGGAGUGAGAAAAGUCAGGAGGGACAAAUGAGUGAGUUGUGUCAGGAACUAGCAUGGCAUUCUUAAGAGUCACACGGGCUGGGUGCAGUGGCUCACGCCUGUAAUCCCAGCAUUUUGGGAAGCCAAGGUGGGCAGAUCACGAGGUCAAGAGAUAGAGACCAUCCUGGCCAACAUGGUGAAACCCUGUCUCUACUAAAAAUACAAAAAUUAGCCAGGUGUGGUGGCACAUGCCUGUAAUCCCAGCUACUCAGGAGGCUGAGGCAGGAGAAUCCCUUGAACCCAGGAAGCAGAGCUUGCAGUGAGCUGAGAUUGUGCCAUUGCACUCCAGUCUGGGCGACAGAGCGAGAUUCCGUCUCAAACAAACAAACAAAAAAAAGAGUCAUGGGUUGAAGCGUCCCAUUGCAGUUGGGAACCUUUAUGGGAAAGUGGGGUCUCUGAUUAGACAGGUGGAAUGUGGCUAGAGUCUUGAAUGGGGGCUGGGCAGUGUAGGUUUACCUUAUAGGGCAAUCAUUCUUGAAGCUGAACAUUAGAAUAAACUGGCAAGAGUUAAGAAAUAUGAAUGCAACCCUGUAUUCAUCUACUGAGGCUGCCAUAACAAAAUACCAUAGAAUUGGUGACUUAAGCAACAGAAAUUAAUUUUCUAACAAUGCUGGAGGCUAGAGAUCAAAGUGUUGGCAGUGUUGGUUUCUCCUGAGGCCUCUUUCCUUGAUUUGUAGAUGGCCAUCCUCUCCCUGUGUCUUCAGAUGGUCUUUCCUUUGUUACUGUCCAUGUCUGAAUAUUCUUUUCUUAUAAGCCUUCCCCUAUUGCCCCAAUUCUUCCCAUUAGGAACCUCACCAGCACCACAGGACCCACCACCACCAUCACAAGCCUUAUCAUCACCCCUGCCUUCUCUAUCCCUGCAGCAGUCCGGGGAUAGACACAGGGAGAGGACAGCCAUCUUACCAGCCAAGGAAGGAAGCCUCAGAGAAACCAACACUGCCAACACUCGGAUCUCUGGCCUCCAGGAUUGUGACCGCACCCACCACAGUUAUCACAGGGGCAGCUAUAAUGGCAGCAGCUGCAGCAGCAGUGAGCCCCAUGCCAAUAGAGAGACAUAGGCAGUCACACCCAUUGUAGAACUGAUCACUUAGGCCAAGUUAUUAAUUUUGUACUGGAGGAAACUGAAGUCCAGAGAGGUCAACUGACUUAUUCAAGCCUAUGGAGCUCUUAAAUACAAAACUAAGUCCAAAGAUCCUAUUUUUUGGCCUCACAUUUUCUUUCUUUCUACUGGUCCACAUGACUUCAUCCCAGCCCAUCAGCCCUGGAGGCUGGGCUAAGGACAGCCCCACUAUUUGAGCCUGCUCUUCCUUCCUAUCAGGAGCAAACCAUCAUGAAAAUCAGCCCCAUUAAACUCUGAUUGUCUGUGUCUGGGCCAUGUGUUUCCCUUGUCAAGGGGUUGAAAUGCUCUGAUUUAAGGGUAGGCAGGAUACUUCUUUUAAUGUUUUUAGUUAGGACUUGGUCAGCAAACAGGGACAAACCUGAUCAAAUGUGGCAUAAGCAAACUGCAAACUCGGCUCAUGUAACAAGACCAAGGCAGCCCUGGCUGCAGGCGUAGAAAGAUUCAGGGCUCACAUGAUGCAAUCACGUGUCUCUCCUUUCUGCUUGCUUCGCAAUCUGUUGACUCCAGUCUCAGACUCCAUUUGGUAGUGAGAUGGUAGCUUCAGCUUGUGAAUUCUCUGGUGCAGCAGGAAAGAGGUAGCCUGUUUCUCAAUAACACAAAUGAAAGUCAUGGAAUUAAUUAAUGCAAAAAUAUUUAUUGAGGUCCUAGGAUGCACCAGACAUUCUUCUACAUGCUGGGGAUACUGAAGUGGACAGAGAGAAGAGGUUCCUGUCAUCAUGGAGCUUACUUGAGUCUUCUUAGGCUCUGACAUGACUGUUUUUGGCCAUGUGUAAUCUGUGAGCCAAUCACUGUAGCCACGAGUACGCGAUGUGCUGGGUUAUGUGCCCCACUUAAAGAAUGCAAGCCUCAGGGCAGGCGUGGUGGCUCACGCCUGUAAUCCCAGCAUUUUGGGAAGCCGAGGUAGGCGGAUUGCCUGAGGUCAGGAGUUUGAGACCAGACUGGCCAACAUGGUGAAACCCUGUCUCUACUAAAAAUACAAACAUUAGCCAGGCGUGGUGCUGGGUGCCUGUGAUCCCAGCUACUCAGGAGGCUGAAGCAGGAGAAUCGCUUGAACCCAGGAGGCAGAUGUUGCAGUGAACCAAGAUGACGCCACUGCGCUUCAGCCUGGGCAUUCUUUCAAAAACAGAAUGCAGGUCUCUUUUUGAGUGCCAGGACUAUGUCAUAGUUAUGUUUGUGAUGUGUCCACAAAGCAUAACCCAAGGGCUGUCCAUAAUAAGCACAUGAGAAGUGACAUCAAACGAGUGAACAACUGAGUAAAUAAACCACAGAGAGAGAAAGUUCAUGAAAGGCAAAUGUGUAAAAACACACGAAAAGGGGAUAAAUCCAAGUAAAUCGAACAAUGAAAUGCUAGCUGUCAGUUGCCAAUCCAAAAAGAGACAUAAUAUUCACUAGAGAUGACUUGCUAAAAAUAUUUGCCCAGUGUGUUUCAUAUCAGGCCAAGAA